GUGGGGAAUAUUGGACAAUGGGCGAAAGCCUGAUCCAGCCAUGCCGCGUGUGUGAAGAAGGUCUUCGGAUUGUAAAGCACUUUAAGUUGGGAGGAAGGGCAUUAACCUAAUACGUUAGUGUUUUGACGUUACCGACAGAAUAAGCACCGGCUAACUUCGUGCCAGCAGCCGCGGUAAUACGAAGGGUGCAAGCGUUAAUCGGAAUUACUGGACGUAAAGCGCGCGUAGGUGGUUCGUUAAGUUGGAUGUGAAAGCCCCGGGCUCAACCUGGGAACUGCAUCCAAAACUGGCGAGCUAGAGUACGGUAGAGGGUGGUGGAAUUUCCUGUGUAGCGGUGAAAUGCGUAGAUAUAGGAAGGAACACCAGUGGCGAAGGCGACCACCUGGACUGAUACUGACACUGAGGUGCGAAAGCGUGGGGAGCAAACAGGAUUAGAUACCCUAGUAGUCC
rnacentral:rRNA from 1 species